AAACAGUUAAAGCUAACGUUAGCUAACAGUUAAAGCUAACGUUAGCAAACAGUUAAAGCUAAUGUUAGCAAAGAUGAAGGGCAUACAGACAAGAAGGAAUAACUUACUGAGGAACACCUGGACACUUUACACCUGACAUUAACCCACCUGGCCCUUCAUCAUUUUCUCCACCCUCCGGCCCUCCUGACUCAUCUCCACUGUGUCUCCUGGUGGCAUCUGCGGCAAGAUCAUCACUACCUUGUUAUUGCCAGAGAAGUGGAAUUAGAAGAACAGCAGGAGUAAUGUCUUAGUUGUUGGAGGCCCAAUCUACCAAAAAGCAGCAGACAAGGGCCGUCUAGCGCCAACGAUGCGCGACGCACCGCAACAACUGGAGCCACAAAGCUAACUGCCGGCCCCGAUAUUAGCCGACCGUCGACCUGCUGUUUAAGGGCCCCAAUACAUGAAAAGCUACGAGCUUUGGUCCUGUCAAUAUGCGUUUGAUGAUCUGUGACAUUGAAGCCAGAAGAUAUUUUGACUUUGAUCUUUCUGAUGGCACCUUUCCUGAUCACCACACCACAGCUAGUAUCUCAUCCUCGCCGUAAAAAGCUCCAACUGCACAUCUGAUCAUCACUGUAACUGAUCUACUUUGUCUCAGUGGAACCAGCUUAGAAAGAAAAACAUGAAAGAGUCUCUGUUGAAGUUAAGUCAUCAAAUACAGAGCUAUCAGCAGUUAAAUCUGUCAAAAGAGUUUUCUUUAAUAUGACAAAUGUACAGGACUGACUACCUGUUUAACUGCACGUCCCCACGCUGGUGUAAAAAAUUGCAGCAGGGUUUAAAUGGCUGUACGAGCUUGACAGACACCUUUGUGUUCUGUGUAUCUGGAUCCGUUUUACGUUACGAGUCCUAACAGACACAUAAGCUUUUCUUUGACAGCUCAGGACGAAGCUGUUCCCUGAAAACAGAAAUAUGUAUUUUUACCACGUACAUCAGACAGACAUAGUUGAUUUGCUAAGGUCAUGGGUUAUUCAAAAUAAAACGGUGUCCCUUUC